rnacentral:lncRNA from 1 species
CCUGGGAACUUCAAUGGUAAGAAAAAAAAUCAAACCUUUAACUGAAAUUUAGCAUUUCCUUCAAUUUUUUAAGAACAUUAUUUCAAGAAGAGCGCUAUGGGUUUCACCCAAGACUACCAAAGAGAUUUGUGACACAAAUAAGAUUAAGGACUCCUGCUCUAAGCCUAGAAAUACUUCUGCCUCAGAGGUCUGGGAAGCUCGAGAUGGGAGUGAAGGAAGAAGGAACAUCUGGGAACAACCUUGUAUAAUGUUUCCCAUCACAAAUCAGUAAAAUUUUU